CGGAUCUUUAGAACAUGAACAUCCAACAUGUUCUCCUCAGCUUGUUACCAGUUCUGCUCUGGAACAAAGGUUUUAUUGAUGGGAGUGAUGUCAACCAGACCCCCAUACUGUGGAAAAACAAGGGUGACAAUGCAACAAUACACUGCAACCACACAAAGGGUUUUGACUACUUCCAGAUGUACUGGUACAGACAGCUACCUGGAGAAAAUAUCAAACUAAUUGUGUUCACAACAACAUCUAAAAACGACUUUGGAGAUUUCGACAAAAAGAAAUUCUCAGCCACCAGACCUGGUGCUGAGAGCGGGACAUUCACAGUGGGGAAUCUGGAGCCUGGAGAUCAAGGCUUGUAUUUCUGCGCUGUGAGUCAACACAGUGAUACAGACACAUGUGGAAGCUGA